AUAGUUUUAAUAUUUUAGCAUGGUAUCAGAGCCUAGUUCGAUCUAGGGACCUGUGCUUGUGUUCUUCUUGAAAUUUAUGUGCUCUUCUCCCCCCUUGAGAGGGGGGAGGGGGAGUGAAAGGGAUAUGUUUAUUGACCUAUCCCAAUUACCUUGACAUAUUUCCAUGAAGAUGUUGCUUAUUUCUUGACUCCGACGACCCCUUCUCUUCAA
rnacentral:lncRNA from 1 species